GCCCGGUUAGCUCAAUCGGUAGAGCGUGAGACUCUUAAUCUCAAGGUUGCGGGUAAGUCUAUAUGACUCAGCUUCACACCACGCGCCUGUAUUAACCUUCCUGUCAUAGGUUCGACCCCCGCAUCGGGCU